AACAAAAAAACAAAACAAAACAAAACAAAAUACAAUAAGUGUUAGUGAAGAUGUGGAGAAAUUGGAAUUCUCGUGCACUGGUGGAGGGAACGUACAAUGGUGUCACUGCUACGGAAGAUAGUAUAGUCAUUCCUGAGAAAAUUAAAUAGAAUUACUCCGUGAUCCAGCAAUCCCACCUCUGGGUUUGGGAUUCAAUACCCAAAGGUAUUGAAAGCACAAUCGCAAAGAGGUAUUUGUCCUCUCACGUUCAUAGCCGUGUUCUUCACAACAGCCGAAAGGUGGAAGCAACCCAAGUGUUCACCAGUGAAGAAUGGAUGAACCAAAUGUGGUCCAUACACACGGUGGACUAUUAGUCAGCCUUCAAAAGGAAGGAGAUUCUGACGCAUGCUACCACAUGGAUGAACCUGGGGACAUUGUGCUGAGUGAAUACACCAGUCACAAAAGAUUGCAUGUCAAGCCCAGGAUGAAAGAGGAACCCUCAGCCUGUCCUGUCUUCCCCAGCAAAAGCAAGUUCACGGUGACCGUGUGAUCCUCUUGGUGUGGAGAGGCUGCCACCCGGGUCUAAGCAGUGCAGCGUCCUCAGGGUGACAGCCGAGGCCCAGGGCUCCAGCACUCUCCUGGUGAGCUACAAACAGGGCCACGUCCACCUGCGUGCCAGGAUCACCAUCGGGGCCUACCUGCCCCUCAAGCUGAAAGCAGGAACUGAUGCAGCAGGAGCAGAGCCUCCCCCCCGGGGACAGUGGUUGCUGACAUCCGUGUGAUCACGUGAGGCAGCGCUUGGCAGGCUUGGCAGGGUGCUGACCUGCCAGGCUCUCCUGACGAAGGCAGGACUGUGGGCUCCAAAGGCUUCGAAGUGUUUGCGGCAGUGGUCAGAGCACAGGGGUGCUUCUGGCCCACUCCAGAGUUGCCCUGCAGAGUCCUUACAGGUCCCCAGCAUUGGGACAGUGGCCUUUGGUGUGUUCGAUUCCAGGCCCUCCUGAGACCUGCGUGCGGGGUGGAUUCCACCACUUGCCUGAUGUCUGUGAGUCCCUCUUCCCACCUGAGGACGGAGGCGGUCGAGGCGUGUGCAUGCGGAGCACACGGCCUCAGCCUCCACACCGGCUCCCGAGCCUGAGUCCAGGGCUGCUGCACAGCCGCUCUGUACUCUGCUCAUUGAACUUCUCUGGCCUCACCUUCCUGCCUGUGAAAUGGGGCUGGACAGCACCUGCCCCAUAGGGUUGUGCUGAGGGUGAGCUGAGCUAAUAAAUGGAAUGGGCUUAGAAAGCAGCCUGGGAGGGAGUCAGCGCUCAGCAAGGGUUAGUUAGUGAAACAGGACUAAAAGCAACCUGGCCUUCCUCCGAGGGUGGUUGUGAAGGCUUCACAGAAGGGCUACACGCAGUGGGCUGCUGAAUGCACUUGUCACUGUGUUUGAACCCCGCCUCGUCCACAAGAGGCCAGAGCAGGUUAGUUGGUGGGGAGUUCCUGCUCCUGGAGGAGCCCCCACCCUCCCAGGCUGGGCCAGGCAGCCCUCGCAUUUCCCUGCCAUGC